rnacentral:rRNA from 1 species
AUGAAGUGUGUAUCUUCAGUACGUUUCUCAGUUCGAGUCAAUGGGGAGCUUCUACCCUUUUUUACACCCUCGCGUGAACUGAGACAAGGUGACCCUGCGUCGUCGUUCCUCUUUCUACUCUGCGCGGAGGGCCUCUCUUCUUUGCUGAAGUAUUACAAUGUUGGGCACAUUGACAGAGGCAUAAGAGUCAGCUAUAGAUCACCUUGGGUCACACAUUUGUUGUUUGCGGAUGACAGCCUGAUCUUCAUUAGUACAAACACCCAGAGUGCCGAGAGACUUAAUGAAAUUCUGAGAAUUUAUGAUGAAUCAUCGGGACAGUGUGUUAAUCGUGCCAAAAGCUCCAUUUACUUCAGUUCUAACACACCGGCCCAGCUUAAGCAGCAGCUGAAGGCCGUCCUCGCCAUUGAUGUUGAGGCUUUCAGCGAGUGUUACCUGGGGCUGCCCACAGUGGUCGGACGCAUCACUAGCGGGACAUUCGAUCACAUUGGGGAGAGAGCUCGCGGGAAGAUAUCAGAGUUUUGGAUUUCGGCCGGAAUUUCUUAUUCUCGUCCGAAAUUCGCCCAUGCCGUUGAGGCCCGGUAUAAAUACAAGCCGGCCAAAAUUUUCGGCCCAGCCCAUAGUGCAGCGUACGCUCGCAGAGGGCCGUCGAUGCACGGCGGCGGCGGCGGCCGCCUACCGGCGACACAAGCCAUGGCCCCCGCCUCCUCCCACCCUUCUCCACUGGCAGUCCACAUCCUCCUCCUCAUUUUCCUACUUCCAUUCCACUUUUCCCAUGGAGCACAGAGAUUGGGUCAACGGCGGAUCUACGCGCUGACACUAGAGAACCAGAUGUAG